CCGACCUUAGCUCAGUUGGUAGAGCGCGAGACUGUAAUUGGAUGCAUAUCUUGAGGCCGCCUGUUCGAUCCAGGCAGGUCGGA